UACGAAGGGGGCUAGCGUUGUUCGGAAUUACUGGGCGUAAAGCGCGCGCAGGCGGUCUUCCAAGUCAGUGGUGAAAGCCCGGAGCUCAACUCCGGAACUGCCAUUGAAACUGUUGGACUUGAGUACGAGAGAGGUGAGUGGAAUUCCCAGUGUAGAGGUGAAAUUCGUAGAUAUUGGGAAGAACACCGGUGGCGAAGGCGGCUCACUGCUCGUAACUGACGCUCAGGCGCGACAGCGUGGGGAUCAAACAGG
rnacentral:rRNA from 1 species